rnacentral:rRNA from 1 species
GCUAUCAGGGUUUGACUAAGCCAUGCGAGUCGAGAGGUGAAAGACCUCGGCAUACUGCUCAGUAACACGUGGAUAAUCUGCCCUCAGAUGAGGAAUAAUCCCGGGAAACUGGGGCUAAUGCCUCAUAGGAGACGGGUGCUGGAAUGCUCUGUCUCUGAAAGGUCCGCCGUCUGAGGAUGAGUCUGCGUCCGAUUAGGUUGUUGUUGGGGUAACGGCCCACCAAGCCAUUGAUCGGUACGGGUUGUGGGAGCAAGAGCCCGGAGAUGGAUUCUGAGACAUGAAUCCAGGCCCUACGGGGCGCAGCAGGCGCGAAAACUUUACAAUGCGAGCAAUCGUGAUAAGGAAACCCUGAGUGCCUGUCAAUGCAGGCUGUUCUGGUGUUUAGUCCGCACCAGGAGAAAGGGCGGGGCAAGACCGGUGCCAGCCGCCGCGGUAAUACCGGCUGCUCGAGUGAUAGCCACUUUUACUGGGCUUAAAGCGUUCGUAGCUUGGUCGUUAAGUCUCUGGGGAAAUCUUCUGGCUUAACCAGAAGGCGUCUCAGAGAAACUGGCGACCUUGGGACCGGGAGAGGUAAGACGUACUUCGGGGGUAGGAGUGAAAUCUUGUAAUCCCCGAGGGACGACCGAUGGCGAAGGCAUCUUACCAGAACGGCUCCGACAGUGAGGGACGAAAGCUGGGGGAGCAAACCGGAUUAGAUACCCGGGUAGUCCCAGCCGUAAACGAUGUGCGUUAGGUGUGUCAGUGACCACGAGUCACUGAGGUGCCGAA